CAGCUUGCUGCCUCAAAAUGCUGUUUGAUGACACUGGUUUAGAAAAUAGAAAACAGAUUUUUCUUUUCUCCGAAGAAAUAGAAAACUUUCCUCUGUACUCCAAGGGAUAUACAGGAAGAAUAGAAAUAUGAAUUUGAACUAUGACUAAGAGUCAGCAUGUACUUUCCUUUCUCUGGAAAAAGAAAAGAAAAAAGCUGGAGAAGUAAAGCUCAGAAGCACGGUUGGGUAUGGCUGAGUUAAGUAGACUACAUGAAAAAUAAACAGUCAA
rnacentral:lncRNA from 1 species